rnacentral:lncRNA from 1 species
GGAUUCACAUAGAAGAGGGAGAAAUAGAUGUAUAUCCCUUCACACUUGUGCCUCUGUGUGACAGGGAGUACCACCCAGACUAAAAGCAACUCAAGGUUACACUUGCAAACUCUUCACAUCACCACGACAGUUUUGCAGAUCCUGCGUUUUCCAAAGGUCUUGAGCCAAUUAAAGAGUGUAACCAAUUUCGGUAGGGAAUAUAUCUAUACCAGGACUGAAGAACAUGUAGUUGGACUACAGCUCCUUUCAUCAAUGUUGGUAAUGCUGGGUGGAGCUCAUAGGAUGUCCAGCGACAUCUAGAGCAGUGUUUUUCAAUAUCAGAUCCCCAGACGUUGCUGGUCUGUGACCCCCAUCACCCCAGACCUUUGGCUAAGCUGUCUGGGGGUGAUGGGAAUUGUAGUUCAACACCAUCUGGGGAUCCAAGGUUGAAGAACACUGAUCUGAAGGGCCACAGCCUCCCUGCCUCUGACAUUGACCAAUAUAGACAGAUAGGACAUGUGACUCCAUUAUCACUCCAGUUCCGCUGACUACUCACUCAUCUUAUGAGCUGAAGAUGCUUAUGGGUCCUGGUUAGUACUUUUAAACCUUGAGCCAGUUUUGGGAUCAGGAUCUCUUACUUGUUUGUUUUAUAGGCUUAUAUUCCACCCAAACCAAUUAGGUAAAUAACGCUACACAAACCAUGUUGGGACAGUGUUACCACCCUAACUGAGGGUUAAGCUAUUUAUCAAAAAAAGGUCUGUGUAAGCAGAAGAGUUUUAAACAGGUAUCUUAAGUAAGCAGUGCUUGCUUAAGAGUAAUCUACAAGGAGUUCCACAGCCUUGGCACAGGCACACUCAGUUUCGUAGAAGCAAGGCAAGCAUCCGAUGGCACCUUUAAUAGUGCUUUUUGGUUGGGCAACCAUAUAUGGGCAAGGCAGUCUUUCACGUAAGUAUAGGUUGGUGGGGGGAAUAAUUAUAAAUUAAUUUAAUAGAUUUACAUCCCAACUUUCCUCUGAAGAGCAUAGUUCUCUGUUCCAACCACCACUGCUACCAUUUUGCUCUCAUACCAACCCUCUAGAUGAGAGAGAGUGACUGCUGACACAGGGUCAAUCAAGAAGCUUUGGGACUCAUUUGGCAUUUGAAUGUGGACCUCCCUGCCAUAGGCUAAUACACUGGGCAUUCCACUGCACCAGCUCUCAAAGGCCUUUCUAUCCAUGCCCAAGCCAUGUGAUUCAAUUCACAAGUCUAAUUAACACUUUCUGAAACAAUACAUGAACCAGAACAGCCAUCCUUCGAAAUUCACACUUCUCUGAAUUUUGCAAUGCAGUUAUCCAGCCAAGUAAUGUGUGCAAAAAAACCGCAUAUACUAGGGUAAAGUGUACAUGUGAAUGCAUAUAUUGGUUAAAAUAACACAAAAAGCAUUACAUUGGGGAAAUCCUUUUGCAAAACUGUGUUCACUAGGCAAAAUUGCAUACAAAAAUGUGUCUAUUAGGAGAAGUUUGCACUAAAAUGCUAAUGAUUAAGCAUUUUUUAAAAAGAAAAUAAUAAUAAUCACAAUCUGAUGUGGAAAUGUGGAGAAGUGAAUUUAAGGUUGGAAAAACGAAAAACUGAGAGAAACCAAAAUUGACAGAUCUGCCCAACACUCGCCUCCAUCCCUGAGAGGGAUGACUCGGUCCUCACUGAUGAGAAACCCUCCGUGGUACUUGCAGUGUACAUGUCCACCCACUGCAAAUACCCCCAGCUACUCCUUGGAGUCUGAACAAACCUCUUCUCAGAAUUGCUUCCUGAAAAGAGCAGCAGCUUUGCUGCUUCCAGCCUCCCUGCUUUCUUCAGGGGCAGGAUGCACAGGUAAGUCUUGCUUUGUCUGUGCAUUUGCUUUUUAGAGGCGGGGGGGGGAUUGCUCCCUGCGCACGAGGAAACUGCAGCCUCGCCCGUCAGAAUUUAUUUGCUGGCGACAGACGAGCGCGCGCAAACGUUUCGAUGACUCCGGCUUGCCUCCUGCUUUCAUUAGGUCGGGUGAGCCGAUCCCAGAUGGCGUUAUGGAAAUCGGCAAAUGAAAACCAUAUUGAUCGGCCUUGUGAACUAAUGCGAAAAAGCUGCUCCGAAGGGGAAAAGGUGGAGAGGCGUGUGUGCUCCACUGUUCAACCCGAUAGCCCCUUGUUAAGGCCUUUAAUCAUUUAUUAAUGUAAACCCACUCCUUCCCUUUCUCCUCCAUUCCCUUUUCCUUUCCACUCAAAUUACCACAGCCAUAGAGCAUCCUGUUCCAUUUAUCUUUUAAUGUUUCCUUUAUUUAAUUUAUUUUUAAGUUACAUGUUAAAUUUUAUUACAAUGGCAAGUGUGUGUCCUCUCUGAAUCUUUCUUUCUUUCUUUCUUUCUUUCUUUCUUUCUUUCUUUCUUUCUCCCUUCUCCCUUCUCCCUUCUCCCUUCUCCCUUCUCCCUUCUCCCUUCUGAAGGGCAGCUUCAAAUGACUUGAGAUUUUACAUAUGUGUUUGUUGCAUUCGUCUGAAAUGUUAGGGCCCCUGACCUUUUCCUGCUACAAACCUGUACAGAAUUUCAAAGAACUUCAUUGCAGGAUUGAACCAUAGCCUAUUUGAGCAAACUUAAAUUUCUGUUGUGUGAUUGAAUCCCUUCUGUAAAAUACUGAUGGGCUGGAAGUGGCCUAAGUUAUCGUGAGGGGGUGCAUUCUGCAGGGUGAUUGACUAACUCUGCAAAAGAAGGUGCUCCUUUGUGUCCUACCCAACAAUAUUGGGCUGAUCCAUCUAUAACAGAGAGAGUAAUAGCAUCUUGUCCUAAAUGGAGUUCUUGCAAAGAUUAUGAGGAAAUGUAUGUAAGCCAACUGGAGUGGUGUAAAUGCUAAUAUAG